rnacentral:rRNA from 1 species
CCUACGGGAGGCAGCAGUGGGGAAUAUUGGACAAUGGGCGAAAGCCUGAUCCAGCAAUGCCGCGUGAGUGAUGAAGGCCUUAGGGUCGUAAAGCUCUUUUACCAGGGAUGAUAAUGACAGUACCUGGAGAAUAAGCUCCGGCUAACUCCGUGCCAGCAGCCGCGGUAAUACGGAGGGAGCUAGCGUUGUUCGGAAUUACUGGGCGUAAAGCGUGCGUAGGCGGUUAUUCAAGUCAGAGGUGAAAGCCCGGGGCUCAACCCCGGAACGGCCUUUGAAACUAGAUAACUAGAAUCUUGGAGAGGUCAGUGGAAUUCCGAGUGUAGAGGUGAAAUUCGUAGAUAUUCGGAAGAACACCAGUGGCGAAGGCGACUGACUGGACAAGUAUUGACGCUGAGGUACGAAAGCGUGGGGAGCAAACAGGAUUAGAUACCCUGGUAGUCCACGCCGUAAACGAUGAUAACUAGCUGUCCGGACACUUGGUGUUUGGGUGGCGCAGCUAACGCAUUAAGUUAUCCGCCUGGGGAGUACGGUCGCAAGAUUAAAAACUCAAAAGUAGAAUUAGACGG